rnacentral:rRNA from 1 species
CACGCCCUAAACGAUGGAUACUCGACAUUUGCGAUACACAGCAAGUGUCUGAGCGAAAGCAUUAAGUAUCCCACCUGGGAAGUACNUACGCGAGGAACCUUACCUGGGCUAGAAUGUCAGUGGACCGUGGGUGAAAGCUCAUUUUAUAGCAAUAUACCGCUGAUAAGGUGC